rnacentral:lncRNA from 1 species
GUGAGCAUGAAGCUACAGUGUUUAGCACCAUAAGGCUUCAUCUGUGUGGCCAGGAAAGGCUUAUUUCUCUAAAUAAAUGUGGUGAAGCUGAGAUAUGACAGGUGUGUCAGCAUGCAGCAGGUGAUAUCACAUUCUAGGCAGAGGGAGGGACCUGGAUACAGGCCCUGUGGUGGGCAGGAACCAGAGGAAGACAGGGCGAGGAUGCCACGGGCUCCACAUCGACUAGAAAUGUCCUAAACCUGACGUGGAAGCUGAGCAUUGGUGGAGGAAAGCCUUCUGCAGUUAAGUAGAACCUGACUGGCAAGGAAGGUUUCCAGAAGGAAUAGAAAGUGACAGGGAGGAAGGGCACAAAGCAGCCCCAGGUGGGCCUGGGCUCAGAAAGUGGGACUAAUAGUGAGGCUGGGUUUCUUCUACCACAUUCCACAUUCUAAGGGCCAUGCGUCAGCUUUCCUGGGGGCCUGUCCUGAGGCUCUAGGGUGCCCCCUUCCUGUGCUCUGCAGGUUUCAGGGUGGGUAGAAGAGGAGAGAGAAACAAAGGGGUUUCACAGAGCUGCCUGUCUCUUGGCCUCUGCUUUCCCAAGGUCAUAGUCUUGGGGCUUAGCUGUGUGCUUGGGAGGAGAGUCCGGAAACCUGGGUUAGUGGGAAAAAAUCCUAGUCAAAAAAAAAACCCAGGAGCAUCGUGGAUGAGCAAAUGGGACCCCAAAACAUGAAGCGCAAGAAGAGAAAACAUGACAUUUUGGAACAGGACCACAUGAGCCUCUGGCCUGGGGUGGGUGACUUCCACAGCCGACUGGGAAAGUUUGGAAGAUGCAAAACCAUGAGAAAGAUGCUCCAGGAGAUUGGGAUGUUGUCUUCCAUCACCAUGCACACAACCCAACCCACCCACACAGCACAAAUGAGCAUCUUUUUAGGCCAAAGCCCAACUGAUGUCCAGGUCCCUGCAGGGCUCCCCCAUUCUGAGGGUGCCCAAUCUUUGUGCCCCCAGCAUUCAGACAUGACACCUGCUCUGUGCAUGUCUGCUUACACUGGCCUCUACCCUAUUUCCCUCUCCACCGAUCACAGGCUGCCUGGCACAAGCUUGGCUCAGGACCACCAACAAAGGGCAGUUAAGGGACCACAGGCUGGAGUGAGAGAGACACACGGCUCAAAAUGGGGGCGGGCUCCCUGACACAGGACAGAGGUGUUUGGGCAGCUGCCAGUGAAAGCAAGCUUUCAGAGUUUUUCUGUGAGUUGAAUUUUCUCCUGAAUGAAGGUUUAUUGGCUCCUUGCUGGUUAUGAGAUUAUACCCCAGUCCUCCAGGGAUAUGUGUGAGGGAUCAUGUAAAUCCUGCAUUCUGGCAGAAAGAGAAAAACACUAAUUUUUACAUUAGUGACAUCUCAACAUGGAGUCGUUCAGGAGAGCAUCUGCUUGCCCCUGAUUAGGAAGCUGGCACAGUGGACAGCAAUCUGCUCAUCUCCCCUCUCCCUUUCUCUUGAACAUUCAGACACUCUCAGAGCAUGAGCCUCUGGUGAGCAGGUGUGUUGACCAUGAAGGAACAGGCAGGUGCCUUUAACUGUGUGCCUUCUGGAACCAGAAUCCAUCAAGAGUCAUGAUGGCUAUUUCAAGAGAGCUUGACAUGCUUUUGUAAAGGGUUUUUCAUCAAUCCCCACAAGAGCUCUUUAGGACCCCACCAAGGUUAACUAACUGGCUUUGGACCAGGCUCAGAGUACCCCACAUACUGUAGGCAGAACUUCUGGGUGAAAGUCAGAUGUCAAGCUCCUUGCUUUUAACUUUGUUUGAUGUUUUAAUCUACAUUUGCAGACUAGGUCUUGAUCAUGUUCUCCGAACUUCCCCUCUGAUGAGCAGAGGGCAUGCCCAGAACUGCAGUUGCUAAGUAUUGAUAUAAGAAAUGUUCUGAGAUGCUGUUGAAGACAUGUUUGUUGAAGUUCAAACAUGUUCCUUAUUUUGCAGACAGAAAAUAAGACAAAACAAAUGUAAACAUUGCCCAGUGCCAUCUGUAAAUCUAGAAGGAGAAAAACUUAUUAUCAACAGUAGAGGGAAGUGAAAUUAGGGCAGGGUACUAACCUUAGCUGUGAUUAGUGUACACUACUGAGUACAUGACAGGGUGUGAGCUUUGGGUACAGGCAUUUUUUUGAGGCAGAUGUUAAAAUGUCUCAGAUCUGCAGUAAUGGGAUUCAGAACCUUCAAAGAAGUUCCAGCCCUCUCUACUCCAGGGUGUGAUGGGGGCAUUGCAACAUUUGAAGCUUUAAUUUCCAAUCUAAAUCAAGAAUGCUUUAGCCUUUGUGAGUUACAGAUACGCCAGGCUUCAUUUUAAUAGGAUACUUCUAGGAGACUUCAAUAAAAUACCCCCAAAUAUUUAGAUUCUGGAUGGAACAGGACAAUAAUUUAAAAAGGGAUUGUCUUUUAUGACCCCCAGCUACUUCCAAGUCUUCCUAGAGCAUCUAAUAGGGAAUUGCCUGGUUCUUGACGCCUUCAACUGUGCACUUGUGUGGGUUUCUGUGGGGUAUAAAUAAAAAGCGGAUGGACACCUGGGUCACCAGGGAGAGCCUGAGGCUGCAGGUGGGGCCAGCCACCUGAGCCUGGAGAGGUGUGAUCCCAAGACAUAUCUGCCAUCUUUGUGCAUGGACUGAAAAUAGAAGGCAUUCUUCAGGCUAGAAGCUGGGACAUUUUGGAAUGCUCAACAGGGGACUAGAAUUUUGAAAAAGAUAGACACAAUAAUCUGCUGAGAAUUUUAGAAGAAGCUAGCACAACACGGCUGGGAUGCAGGGAUAGUGUCUACCACUGAAGCAUGUGGCCUCCAGAGAGAGGUCAUUCUAAAUACCUCAGAACAAAGGGGGACAAACUCCUAUCUUUGUCUAAAGGUAGAACUGACUCUAGAAACCAGAUGUGUGUAUGUGUGUGUGUGUGUGUGAAAGAGAGAGAGAGAGAGAGAGAGGGAGAGGGAGAGGGAGAGGGAGAGGGAGAGGGAGAGGUGCAAUCCUACAGCAGAGACAGGAAUCAUAGCCAGGUGUGAUUAAAUCAUCACUCAAGGUUGGAAUCUUGGAGGGGGAAUUCUUGGGCAAUACUAGGAGUCACAUUUGAUGAGAAGUUUGGGAAACAGGCUGUGAAAGAGACUCUGAAUCCCACUACAUCUAAAACUAGCCAUAGCACCCUUAAUUAAGCAUCCAACACCAAGAGGGCACCAAGACAGACUGUUUUCAGGAAGAGACCACUGAAAUCUCUAGGAAGGGGAUUAUGAAUUUAAAUAAAAUCCAGGGAUAACUGUAAAUAGUACCUUUAAGAUUUUGCUGUCUGUAAUGUCCCUGUAGUUUAAUUAACUAUAUUCUAUUCCACUCUAUUUUCUGCUAUUGAUGCACGAAGACAAUAGUGAGAAGAUCCCCUAGGGGGUGGAAUGAGGGAAAUGAAGGAAAGGAACAGGGGUUUUAACGUUGAACUCUUUGUGAGCAGUCACCUUAAAGAGACAGACUGACACUCAGGCCAACAUGAACAUGCCUACCGGUUGUGUCAACAUAGGUUGUGGAAGAGGGUGUUUAUCAGAAGUAGGGCUGGUCCCUCACAGCAAGAGAGAGCCAGGUGAUUCAUGGAGAUAAACACUGGCGAUGUCUAGUGAAAGCCAUUCACUGGAGCUGGAGCAGUGUGGGAACCUUAUCGGCACAGCCAAUGUGGAUAUAGAUUCAGCGAGUGUGGGCCAACAGCCUUUGAGUAUCUGGGCUCAUUGGCAAGGCCAUCUGCAUACAUUUGUUUAAAUUGUCUUACUUUAAUCAGAGUCAGUGCUCGUUAGAAAACCUUUGGAUUAUUCCUUAGCUUUCUGAGUAGAUAUGCCUAUAAGAACAAGGCUCAGCAUUACAACUCUGCCAACUCUCUGGGACAGUUCUUUCUCAUUGCAAAUUGAUCCAUUUACAUUCUGAUCAUGAUUUGGGAUCCCACAUACUCUUAUUUUUAGUGACAGAAGGAGCUGGUCAUGUUGGGAUAUUUAUCAGAAUUUCUGUAAACUGGUAAACUGCCUUUGUUUUAUUUUACAGAUUUGUUCCCUGAGAAGAAGAUGGUUCAUUCUGGAAUGUGGGCAGCAUCAAUUUCCCAGCCUGUAAGGUUGAGGACCACCUCCUGGCAGGUGAGAACAGUGCCCAGGUGAUGGAUGCCAUAUUUGGAGUCUCAGAGCUUUUCCCUAGAUGAGCAGUCCCUCCCCCGACAUUGUUGACAUGUUGAUCAUCCUCCAGUCUCCCACAAACAUCAGCAAGAAUUCUUACAACUAGAAAGAAGGGGUUGGGUCCUGUGCUUAUUUUGGAGAUGGCAGAGUACAGGGAGAUGUCAUGAAGUAGAAUGCUGAUUUGCAACAGGCUUGGGAGCAAGGAAUCCAAACAGAAGAGCUGUGUUAGCCAUGGAAGAGGCACACGUGUGGAUCCCUCGGGUUUUCCUUUGUGGAUGGACAUUCAUCUUGAGAUCAGCAGCCAUUCUCUUCCAGAAUGGCUGAUUGUGCAGGGUCUGAGCCGGGUGGGGGGCACUACUUUAGUCUUUGCUUCUCUGCUCUCAUGUGUCCACUUGACUGUAAAGUAUUUAAGCUAAAGAAGGAUUGAAGAAUUGACAGAAAAUGAAACUUGCCCAUGUCUGGGUGCUUGCUGUCAACCAGAGGGAGAAAAUUGGAGAAAAUACCUAAAGAAGGGUGUAUAUUUUCUUUUAGAAAAUUAACUUGUAUAUGUUCUCAUGGCUCUGAGAAUUCAGCUCUGACUAUGCGAAGGGGUUUCAGUAUAUAUUCUGAAUUCCCAUCAUCUUUUUGCAGAGUGUUGGACAUUCUCAUAGAACAACGUGCAAUUCUUAGGGCUGCCCAUUUUCCAUUUCCAGAACUGAGUAAUGACAUUUAGGCACUCGGUGAAUCCGUUUGCUUUUCAAUUAAUGACAUGGACGUGAGGCUGCUGUGAAGUGGUUGAGGGAAGGUUACAGGGAGCCAGUGCAGGGGCUGGAUGACAAGUUGGUGGUUGCGCCUCUUACACCUGGCCAGGUGACGGGGACAGCAAGAGGGAGCCAGGAGGGAGGGGAUGCAGAGGCAAGAAGGGAGGGGGACAGGCAGGCAAAAGCCCUGGCUGGACUUUGCCCAUUAGGGAACUCCUUGGCAGGAAGUAGCUUUCUCCAAAUAUGCUCCCUGCACAACCUCUCCUGUCCUAUCCCACCAGAAACAGGAAUGACAGCCCAGCCACCACUGUGGCUCCCAGAAUGGGGUCCUAUGGUUCAGCCACAGUUCAUACAUUAUCCUCAGAGAGGCUCCCAAGCUCUGGCCCUUUCCUUUGACAACCCUCUCUGUCUCUGUGGGUUUCAAACCAUAGUAUUCUGACCUUUGUACAAACUGUUUGGAAAUAACUCAGGCAAUUGAUUCUUAUUACCAGCUAAAUGCUUAUGAAAUUUCAUUUUAAGAGACAUAACUGAAAAAGCAUAAAAAUGUCCAAAUUCUCUCCUUUAAAAACAUCACUACAAGCCAAGACCUUGUAUGAGAAUGUGUAAGUGCAAUGUUACAACUAAAUUAUGAAGAUCAUGGAAAUAAAGUCCAGGAAGGAAGAAUGAGAGAACUUAAAUGUGCCUUCCAUACCCUCAAUGUAGGAAAUUAACACUAAACAGCCCUAGUUCUAGGCUCUGGAAAUAUAUCUGAGGACAGACAGUACCGUUCUAAUGUGAAGAUAAUAUAUAUCAGGCACAAUUAGAAAAUUACUUUCUUUUACCAUGUUCAGAAUUGACUUGUGCAUUAAAAGGUCCAACAAAUUUACCAGACAACAAUUCUGUUAAUGGGUUCCUUCUUGCUUCCUCUAUUUUGCAGUCCCUUAUUCAGAAAAAUGUGUCAAUAAAAUCCAUGCUCUUUCUCAAUUAUCCAAGAUAAACCGUUAUGUACUGGGUAUUGGUCAUGGGUAGAUUCUUUGACUUAAUUUGCC